UACAGAGGGUGCAAGCGUUGUUCGGAAUUAUUGGGCGUAAAGCGCGUGUAGGCGGCCAUCUAAGUCGGGCGUGAAAUCCCACGGCUCAACCGUGGAAGUGCACUCGAAACUGGAUGGCUAGAGUCCUGGAGAGGAAGGUGGAAUGCUUGGUGUAGAGGUGAAAUUCGUAGAUAUCAAGCGGAACACCGGUGGCGAAGGCGGCCUUCUGGACAGUGACGUGACGCUGAGACGCGAAAGCGUGGGGAGCAAACAGG
rnacentral:rRNA from 1 species